rnacentral:rRNA from 1 species
CCUACGGGAGGCUGCAGUGGGGAAUAUUGCACAAUGGGGGAAACCCUGAUGCAGCGACGCCGCGUGCGUGAAGAAGUAUUUCGGUAUGUAAAACUCUAUCAGCAGGGAAGAAAUAGCGACCUUUGGGUCGCCAGACGGUACCUGAUUAAGAAGCGCCGGCUAACUACGUGCCAGCAGCCGCGGUGAUACGUAGGGGGCAAGCGUUAUCCGGAUUUACUGGGUGUAAAGGGGGCGUAGACGGCGGGGUAAGUCAGAAGUGAAAUGUCGGGGCUUAACCCCGGAACUGCGUUGGAAACUGUGGAGCUAGAGUGCAGUAGAGGUAAGUGGAAUUCCUAGUGUAGCGGUGAAAUGCGUAGAUAUUAGGAGGAACACCAGUGGCGAAGGCGGCUUACUGGACUGUAACUGACGUUGAGGCUCGAAAGCGUGGGGAGCAAACAGGAUUAGAUACCCGAGUAGUC